rnacentral:rRNA from 1 species
AGACUACAAGCAGCAUUCAUCAAACAGCUUUUUCCGAAUUACGAUUUAUGCCUGGCGGCCAUAGCGUUGUGGAACCACCUGACUCCAUGCCGAACUCAGUAGUGAAACGCGACCGCGCCGAUGAUAGUGUGGCAGCUGCCAUGUGAAAGUAGGUCACUGCCAGGC